rnacentral:rRNA from 1 species
AUACGAAGGGGGCUAGCGUUGUACGGAAUUACUGGGCGUAAAGCGCGCGUAGGCGGAUUGGUCAGUUAGGGGUGAAAUCCCAGGGCUUAACCCUGGAACUGCCUCUAAUACUGCCAGUCUUGAGUUCGGGAGAGGUGAGUGGAAUUCCUAGUGUAGAGGUGAAAUUCGUAGAUAUUAGGAAGAACACCAGUGGCGAAGGCGGCUCACUGGCCCGAUACUGACGCUGAGGCGCGAAAGCGUGGGGAGCAAACAGGAGUAGAUACCCCAGUAGUCC